rnacentral:rRNA from 1 species
GACGAACGCUGGCGGCGUGCUUUACACAUGCAAGUCGAACGGUGAAGGUGGAGCUUGCUCCGCCGGAUCAGUGGCGAACGGGUGAGUAACACGUGGGCAACCUGCCCCUAACUUUGGGAUAACUACUCGAAAGAGUAGCUAAUACCGGAUACGAAGUCUGUAGGCAUCUACGGAUUUGGAAAGUUUUUCGGUUAGGGAUGGGCCCGCGGCCUAUCAGCUUGUUGGUGAGGUAGUGGCUCACCAAGGCGACGACGGGUAGCCGGCCUGAGAGGGCGACCGGCCACACUGGGACUGAGACACGGCCCAGACUCCUACGGGAGGCAGCAGUGGGGAAUAUUGCGCAAUGGGCGAAAGCCUGACGCAGCAACGCCGCGUGCGGGAUGAAGGCCUUCGGGUCGUAAACCGCUUUCAGCAGGGAAGAAGCGAAAGUGACGGUACCUGCAGAAGAAGCACCGGCUAACUACGUGCCAGCAGCCGCCGUA